rnacentral:ncRNA from 1 species
GAGAGCCGGAUGAGGGAAGACCUUCAAGUCCGGUUCGGAGGGUUCAAAGAAAGGGUGGGCCUUUGGUUUGAAUCCAAUAAUAUGCACCAUUUUUUUUUUCCAAAAAUACGGAAUUCACAACUAGAAAGGAAAAGGUUUCCGCUACCAACUGAU